rnacentral:rRNA from 1 species
CAGACUCCUACGGGAGGCAGCAGUAGGGAAUCUUCCGCAAUGGACGAAAGUCUGACGGAGCAACGCCGCGUGAGUGAUGAAGGUUUUCGGAUCGUAAAGCUCUGUUGUUAGGGAAGAACAAGUGCAAGAGUAACUGCUUGCACCUUGACGGUACCUAACCAGAAAGCCACGGCUAACUACGUGCCAGCAGCCGCGGUAAUACGUAGGUGGCAAGCGUUGUCCGGAAUUAUUGGGCGUAAAGGGCUCGCAGGCGGUUUCUUAAGUCUGAUGUGAAAGCCCCCGGCUCAACCGGGGAGGGUCAUUGGAAACUGGGAAACUUGAGUGCAGCAGAGGAGAGUGGAAUUCCACGUGUAGCGGUGAAAUGCGUAGAGAUGUGGAGGAACACCAGUGGCGAAGGCGACUCUCUGGUCUGUAACUGACGCUGAGGAGCGAAAGCGUGGGGAGCGAACAGGAUUAGAUACCCUGGUAGUCCACGCCGUAAACGAUGAGUGCUAAGUGUUAGGGGGUUUCCGCCCCUUAGUGCUGCAGCUAACGCAUUAAGCACUCCGCCUGGGGAGUACGGUCGCAAGACUGAAACUCAAAGGAAUUGACGGGGGCCCGCACAAGCGGUGGAGCAUGUGGUUUAAUUCGAAGCAACGCGAAGAACCUUACCAGGUCUUGACAUCCUCUGACAACCCUAGAGAUAGGGCUUUCCCUUCGGGGACAGAGUGACAGGUGGUGCAUGGUUGUCGUCAGCUCGUGUCGUGAGAUGUUGGGUUAAGUCCCGCAACGAGCGCAACCCUUGAUCUUAGUUGCCAGCAUUCAGUUGGGCACUCUAAGGUGACUGCCGGUGACAAACCGGAGGAAGGUGGGGAUGACGUCAAAUCAUCAUGCCCCUUAUGACCUGGGCUACACACGUGCUACAAUGGACAGAACAAAGGGCUGCGAGACCGCAAGGUUUAGCCAAUCCCACAAAUCUGUUCUCAGUUCGGAUCGCAGUCUGCAACUCGACUGCGUGAAGCUGGAAUCGCUAGUAAUCGCGGAUCAGCAUGCCGCGGUGAAUACGUUCCCGGGCCUUGUACACACCGCCCGUCACACCACGAGAGUUUGCAACACCCGAAGUCGGUGAGGUAACCUUUAUGGAGCCAGCCGCCGAAGGUGGGGCAGAUGAUUGGGGUGAAGUCGUAACAAGGUAGCCGUAUCGGAAGGUGCGGCUGGAUCACCUCCUUAGAGUUUGAUCCUGGCUCAGGGACGAACGCUGGCGGCGUGCCUAAUACAUGCAAGUCGAGCGGACAGAAGGGAGCUUGCUCCCGGAUGUUAGCGGCGGACGGGUGAGUAACACGUGGGUAACCUGCCUGUAAGACUGGGAUAACUCCGGGAAACCGGAGCUAAUACCGGAUAGUUCCUUGAACCGCAUGGUUCAAGGAUGAAAGACGGUUUCGGCUGUCCUUACAGAUGGACCCCGGCGCAUUAGCUAGUUGGGGAUCGUCUCACCAAGGCGACGAUGCGUAACCACCUGAGAGGGUGAUCGCCAC